rnacentral:lncRNA from 1 species
UUCUUUUCUUCUGCUAGCUUUGGGGUUACUUUGUAUUUGUUUUUCUAGUUCCUCUAGCUGGGGUGCUAGUUCAUUAAUCUGAGCUCUUUCUAACUUCUUGAGAUAGAUGUUUAGCACUGUACACUUUCUUCUUGCCAGUGCUUUUGCUGUGUCCCAGAGAUUUUGGUAUGUUGUGUCUGUUUUCAUUUAUUUCAAAUAAUUUUUUGACCUUUGCCUUAAUUUCACUGUUUACCCGAAAGUCAUUCAGGAGAAAAUUGUUUAAUUUUCAUGUAACUGUGUGGUUUUAAGAAAUCUUCUUUAUAUUGAAUUAUAUUUUUACUUUACUGUGGUUCAAGAGUAUGGUUGAUAUGAUUUGGAUUUUUAAAAAUUUUUUGAGACUCACUUUAUGGCCAAACAUGUGGUAGAACUUGAAGUAUGUUCUAUGUACAGAAGAGAAGAAUGUAUAUUCUGUAGUUGAUGAGUGGGCUAUUCUGUAGAUAUCUAUUUGGUCCAGUAGUCAAGUGUCAAGUUUAAGCCCAGAGGUUUUUUGUUAGUUUUCUGCCUCAGUGAUCUAUAUGAUUCUGUCAGUUGGGUGUUGAAGUCCACCACUGUUUUUGUGUGGCUAAGUCUUUUUGUAGGUCUAGAAGUACUUGUUUUAUGAAUCUAGGUGCCCCAAUGUUGGGUGCAUAUAUAUUUAGGAUAGUUAAGUCUUCUUGUUGAAAUGAAAUCUUUAUCUUUAUGUAAUGCCCUUUUUGGUCUUUUUUUUUUUUGAUGUUGUUGGGUUAAAGUCUGUUUUAUUUGAUAUAACAAUAGUGACUCCUGUUCUUUUUUGUUUUCCUUUUGUGUGGUAGAUCUUUUGUGAACUCUUUACUUUGAACCUAUGGGUGUCAUUACAUGUGUCAUAAGUCCCUUGAAGACAGCACAUGGAUGACUCUUGUAUAUUUAUCUAACUUGCCAAUCUGUGACUUUUCAGUGGGACAUUUAGACCAUUUACAUUCAAGGUUAAUAUUGAUAAUAUGAGGUUUUGAUCCUACUGUGAAGUUGUUAGCUGGUUGCUUUGUAGUUUCUAUUGUGUGGUUGCUUCACAGGGUCUGUGGGCUAUGUACCCUAUGUAUUCUGUGUAUGUAUGUAUAUAUGUAUGUGCACUAUGAUCUCAGGGGAGCUGGCUGGAGCACCCAGCACAUACAGUACCAUGUCACCAAGCUGGUCCUGGCUGCAAGUCUUGCUACCCCAAAGAAACUGCAGCUGUGGCAGCUUUCCUCCAACUCCAGGCUUUUGGUGGGGGGCUGCACAAUUCCAUCUCCUUCUGCUGAGGUGCCUUCCACAGUUCUAGCUGCGAAGGCCCCUGAUGCACUCCAGAGCAGGUGUUUUGAUCUCUGACCCAAGACUAAAAUGCCUGCAUGGCCACACUACUGGGCCACCACAAGAAUGACUGACUUUGUAUGUACCUGGAUUAAAAUGGCAUCCUGCUGCUGGCCCCGGGGUCUGAGAAAAUAUCUGCAGCUUUUCCUGGUGUCUUUUCCUCACAGUGUCUCCAAACCUCUCCACAAGUUAGCUCCGGGACUUGGGAGUAACAAAGUGCUCUCCCUUGGCCUGGAUUGCUCAAAUCCCCAGUGGAAAGUGAGUCACAGAGGGAGGCUCUUUGCCUUUCUCAUGUACUGGGGCUUCACUUACUUUUAUCAGUUGGAUGGCAUCACAGGAUCUUUUUUGUUAGCAAUCGCCUUCCUGGGAUGUGGGGUCUCCUUUAUGAUUCCAGUGACUUCUGUCUUCUUGAAUUAAAGCUUACAAACUUGAUCUUUAUGUAGUAUUUUGCUAUUUCCAAGUGGCUGAGGUAUGCUAAAAGCGUCUAAUCCACCUUCUUUGGUGAUGUUCUCUCUCUCUUUUUGUUUACUUACCUUCAUUUUUUAAAAAGAAAACAUUCUUAGG